ACGGAGGGUCCAAGCGUUAUCCGGAAUCAUUGGGUUUAAAGGGUCCGUAGGCGGGGUAAUAAGUCAGUGGUGAAAGUCUGCAGCUCAACUGUAGAAUUGCCAUUGAUACUGUUAUUCUUGAAUUAUUAUGAAGUGGUUGGAAUGAGUAGUGUAGCGGUGAAAUGCAUAGAUAUUACUCAGAACACCUAUUGCGAAGGCAGAUCACUAAUAAUAUAUUGACGCUGAGGGACGAAAGCGUAGGUAGCGAACAGG
rnacentral:rRNA from 1 species